rnacentral:rRNA from 1 species
GUGCCAGCAGCCGCGGUAAGACAGAGGGGGCAAGCGUUGUCCGGAUUUACUGGGCGUACAGCGCGCGCAGGCGGUCGUAUAGGUACCUGGUGACAGUCUCGGGCUCAACUCGAGGGGGUCUGGGUAGACCGUACGACUGGAGGCAGGGAGAGGGAUGUGGAAUACCCGGUGGAGCGGUGAAAUGCGUAGAGAUCGGGUGGAACACCAGUGGCGAAGGCGGCAUCCUGGCCCUGACCUGACGCUGAGGCGCGAGAGCGUGGGGAGCAAACGGGAUUAGAUACCCCCGUAGUCC